AGUGAACGCUGGCGGCAGGCCUAACACAUGCAAGUCGAACGGCAGCACGGCAGUAGCAAUACUGUGGGUGGCGAGUGGCGGACGGGUGAGGAAUACAUCGGGAUCUACCCUGUUGUGGGGGAUAACGUAGGGAAACUUACGCUAAUACCGCAUAAGAACUGAGGUUGAAAGCGGCGGACCGCAAGGCGUCGCGCGAUUGGAUGAACCGAUGUCCGAUUAGUUAGUUGGCGGGGUAAAGGCCCACCAAGGCGACGAUCGGUAGCUGGUCUGAGAGGACGACCAGCCACACUGGAACUGAGACACGGUCCAGACUCCUACGGGAGGCAGCAGUGGGGAAUAUUGGACAAUGGGCGCAAGCCUGAUCCAGCCAUGCCGCGUGGGUGAAGAAGGCCU
rnacentral:rRNA from 1 species